GACUAACAGCGAGUGGCGGACGGGUGAGUAACGCGUGAACAAUCUGUCCUGACAGGGGGAUAACACCUGGAAACAAGUGCUAAUACCGCAUAAGACCACAGCACCGCAUGGUGCAGGGGUCAAAGGAGCAAUCCGGUGAGGGGUGAGUUCGCGUCCGAUUAGCCAGUUGGCGGGGUAACGGCCCACCAAAGCGACGAUCGGUAGCCGACCUGAGAGGGUGAUCGGCCACAUUGGAACUGAGAGACGGUCCAAACUCCUACGGGAGGCAGCAGUGGGGAAUAUUGGGCAAUGGGCGCAAGCCUGACCCAGCAACGCCGCGUGAGGGAAGAAGGUUUUCGGAUUGUAAACCUCUGUCCUUACCGAGGAAGGACGUGACGGUAGGUAAGGAGGAAGCCCCGGCUAACUACGUGCCAGCAGCCGCGGUAAUACGUAGGGGGCGAGCGUUGCCCGGAAUGACUGGGCGUAAAGGGCGCGUAGGCGGCUAUUUAAGUUAGGAGUGAAAGUCCUGCUUUCAAGGUGGGAAUUGCUUUUAAUACUGGAUAGCUUGAGUACAGAAGAGGUAAGUGGAAUUCCCAGUGUAGCGGUGAAAUGCGUAGAGAUUGGGAAGAACACCAGUGGCGAAGGCGACUUACUGGGCUGUAACUGACGCUGAGGCGCGAAAGCGUGGGGAGCGAACAGGAUUAGAUACCCUGGUAGUCCACGCUGUAAACGAUGAAUGCUAGGUGUAGGGGGUAUCGACCCCUCCUGUGCCGCAGUAAACACAAUAAGCAUUCCGCCUGGGGAGUACGGCCGCAAGGUUGAAACUCAAAGGAAUUGACGGGGGCCCGCACAAGCAGCGGAGCAUGUGGUUUAAUUCGACGCAACGCGAAGAACCUUACCAGGUCUUGACAUCGAUGUAAAGCCUAAGAGAUUAGGUG
rnacentral:rRNA from 1 species